UUCAGAGAAAAGACUCAAGAAGGUGCAAAUAAAGAAGUAAAGGUGACUUUUAUUUAUUUAUUUUUCCAGAAAACUGAAAACCAAAGUCGUGAGAAAUGUGGAUGUCUCCAUUUCAUCUGCUGCUGUUCUACCUACCAUGUCUGUGUCUUGGGGUGAAGGUUGAACAGGGUUCUAAACUAAUCAUCGUUCAGACUGGGAGUCCUGUAGAACUACAAUGUAUAUAUGAUGACUCUAGCUAUCCUACAAUGUUUUGGUAUCAACAGCGACCCGAAGAGGGACUCAAGCUUAUGAUAUAUUCUACAAGUGAUAAUGCCAAGUCUGAUGCCAUGGAAGAUGGAUUCGAGUCGUGGACUUGGAACAGAACAACUCUUCUGAAGUCCACCCUGAAAUUGUCCAGUUCUGAGACUACAGAUUCGGCUGUAUAUUUCUGUGCCGUCAGAAUAUUGUUUGAUAUUACUAAGUUCAUUAAGGAUGUUUUUGCCAGUAUCUCCGUUACAAAGAGUCUGAGAAAGUACAUAUAA